rnacentral:rRNA from 1 species
GGCGCACGGGUGAGUAACGCGUAUGCAACCUACCCAUAACAGGGGGAUAGCUCCCGGAAACGGAAAUUAAUACCCCAUAGGAUUCUAAAGUCGCAUGGCUUAAGGAUUAAAACUGAGGUGGUUAUGGAUGGGCAUGCGUGCCAUUAGCUAGUUGGCGGGGUAACAGCCCACCAAGGCGACGAUGGCUAGGGGGUCUAAAAGGAUGAUCCCCCACACUGGUACUGAGACACGGACCAGACUCCUACGGGAGGCAGCAGUGAGGAAUAUUGGUCAAUGGGCGAGAGCCUGAACCAGCCAACCCGCGUGCAGGAAGACGGCCCUAUGGGUUGUAAACUGCUUUUUUAUGGGAAGAAAAAAGCCUACGUGUAGGUAACUGACGGUACCAUAAGAAUAAGCAUCGGCUAACUCCGUGCCAGCAGCCGCGGUAAUACGGAGGAUGCGAGCGUUAUCCGGAUUUAUUAGGUUUAAAGGGUGUGUAGGCGGAAGAUUAAGUCAGUGGUGAAAUCUCACAGCUUAACUGUGAAACUGCCAUUGAUACUGGUUUUCUUGAGUACAGUUG